ACUCCUACGGGAGGCAGCAGUGAGGAAUCUUCCACAAUGGGCGAAAGCCUGAUGGAGCAACGCCGCGUGAAGGAUGAAGGCCUUAGGGUUGUAAACUUCUUUUAUGAGUGAAGAAUAUGACGGUAACUCAUGAAUAAGCGCCGGCUAACUACGUGCCAGCAGCCGCGGUAAU
rnacentral:rRNA from 1 species